AUGCGCGUCCUAUGCAUGCAAGUCGUACGCACGCGCUUCGGCGCGUGAGUGGCGCACGGCUGAGUAACACGUUGGGAACCCGCCCUCCGGUGGGGGAUAACGCGACGAAAGUCGCGCUAAUCCCGCAUACGUCCGCAAGGGGAAAGCGCUUCGGCGCGCCGGAGGAGGGGCCUGCGGCCCAUCAGGUGGUUGGUGGGGUAACGGCCUACCAAGCCGAUGACGGGUAGCUGGUCUGGGAGGAUGACCAGCCAGACUGGGACUGAGACACGGCCCAGACUCCUACGGGAGGCAGCAGCAAGGAAUUUUCGGCAAUGGGCGCAAGCCUGACCGAGCAACGCCGCGUGCGGGAUGACGGCCUUCGGGUUGUAAACCGCUUUUCGGGGGGACGACUACGACGGUACCCCCGGAAGAAGCCCCGGCUAACUCUGUGCCAGCAGCCGCGGUAAGACAGAGGGGGCGAGCGUUGUCCGGAGUUACUGGGCGUAAAGCGCGCGCAGGCGGUGGUCUCAGUGUCGUGUGAAAGCCCCCGGCUCAACCGGGGGAGGUCAUGGCAAACUAGACGACUGGAGCGGCGGAGAGGCCCCUC
rnacentral:rRNA from 1 species